rnacentral:lncRNA from 1 species
UCCCUCUCUUCUCAACUCCCUCGAAACGCUAGCCUCUCUCACCAUCUUCAACCUCAAUCCCAUCGAAAUCCAUGGACUCUCAGGCCAUGGAUGGAUUAAAAUCAUCUCCAUAUGCUCUUAGCACUUGGUAUUUGAAGGUUCGAGGUCUGACCUCGAUGGUUUCCAUUUAGGUCUUCGCCUAUUCAAGGUUCUAUGGCCAUCUCUGGCCCAGCUUCGACAAACAAUGGUGUUUUAAGCCAGGUUCUGACUUAUCCUACUUAGAUCGGACCUUUUUCCAAGCCUUUCUCAUUCUAGGGUUCUUCUGAAACCCUGACUACUCGAGUUUCUCUCCCAGAUGUUUUCUUAGAUCCAUCACAUAUCUGUGCUCUACUUGGGUUUUUAAGUAAUUUCCCCAAUUUUUCUUUCAAAAAUUAUCUUUUAAAAUCACUUCUCUUCCGUUUAGUGUUUUCUGAUUUUUAAAAUAUUUCUCAGACUUUUCUUUUCCUUUCUUUGUGUGUAUUUGCCACGCAUGUGCUUCUACUGCUUUCUUAUGCUUUCUUUCUACUAUACAUGUUCUUCCAUGUUUUAUUUUCCUACUAUGUUUCUAUACCAUGCUCGCAUGUUUAUCUUGUUGUGUUUUCCUAUAUGUUCUUUUGCUAUACUUUUCCGGUAUUUUGUGUUCUUCUACUGUAUGUAGUUCCUACUGAGUUCUUAAGUUUUGUUUGCCUUCUACUGUGCUUUGUUUGAGUUCUUCUUAAAUACCUCUUUAAACGUAUUUCCACUACUGUUUUCUUUAGUGUUAUACUAUCUUUUUCGCUUCUGAACCUUGGCAAAGUUCCUUCUAAAAAGUACUUUCUUCUGCUAUAUCUCCUAUUAUGUUCUUGAGUGUUUUUGCUUUCUCUUCUACUGAACCAUGUUUAAGUCCCUUCUAGAAGAAUUUUUUCUUAAACGCGUUUCUUCUGCUAUCCUGAUUGUUCUCUCAUUAUGCUCCUUUACUCUAUUUGAUUUGAAUUUUAUUUGUAUUUGCUUGUCUUAUCAUGAGAUUCUGAAAAGAAAUCUCUGAGCAUGUUGCCUCCUCAUCUCUGUAUUUGACUCAAGGAGGAGACCUUAGAAUUUGGGGGGUUUCCUCCGAGUUUGGUCAUAUGAACGGACCAGGGUUCUAUUUGAGAACCAUGGACUCUUUCAGGCUAAUUUCUGAGUCUAUGAACUAAGUGUGGAUUUCUCUUGUUUGCACACAAUCCUAAUUCUCCUACACUAUACCCUUCUAUUGAAUAGCAUGACAAAUCUCUUCAUGUUUAACGUGUCUGUAUGCUUUUAUAUAUGAGAAAGUUUUCUUCAAAAAGGGUUUUCCCAACUUGUGAUUGAUUCAAAUUCUUUUUUAAUAAGUAUAAUUGAUUGGUACUGAUUUUCCUAAAGUCAAAAUCUUUCCCAUCUUUCUGACUUGGUUCAUUCAUACAAAAUCUUCAAUUUCUGAUUUACUAGCUAUUAAUUGAUUCCCUUGACUUAUUUGCACAAACCGUGUACUAUGAGGACUUUUUCCUUAAAUAUACCUCUAUGUAUUUACCCCUCUGGAAGUGUUUGAUUAAUCUCCUUCCUUAAUUAAUUUACCCUUUUGAAAUCAGAAUACCUUAAUUAAAGGGAAACCUUGUGUAAUUGAUUUCCAAACUAGUUUCUUACCUAUUACUGCUUACUUUCUAUACUGUAAAAAGGCAUGACCCUUCUGCACUUUCAUAACACACAUUACACACUUCAAGCACUUAUAAUCUCACAGUUCUCUUCUAAACUCAUAGCAUUAGGACUACUUGUUUGCACUUUGGCUUUACAAGACUGUUGCUUUCUUUUGCUUGUUUCCUUAAGACUGGUAUGUUCUAGUUAUGGUUUAAGAUUCAUCCCAAUUUUUUUACUUACAGCUUUUACAUCCAUGUCUAUUUACUGUUUAUAUGGAGUUUUGGCAUGUUAAUUUCCUUUCAUUUGUUGCUGUUGUGAAUCCCUGCACCCCUGUUUCCCCUCUGUGCUUUGAGUCAUGGUUCAGAACAUGGCAGUAUUCCAGUUAUUAUUCAUGUUUGGACUUGAUCCCUUAGGGGAUCUUAUCUCCCAAAACAAUGUGUUCUAAUAGGUUGGUGUGGGUGUGCCAGCAUUUUCUAUUGCUGGGUGUGACCACUAGCCUGUCUUUGACACUCCCCUUUUCCCCUUUUCAAAAUUUUUUCUAUGCACUUACACUCAUUACUAGCUUCUAAGUCCUGCCCCUCUCUUGUGAUCCAUGCCUUGAGACCUUGAGUUCCCUCUGAACUUGGACACUUGAGGGCUGGCCCUUCCACACUGCACUAUGUCUCAAUCCUGCAAUGUAUUUGGGUGUGAGCAUUGCCCGGAGUCCAUUUGAGGCUCAUAGGGAACUCUGAAACACCCGAAAUGAGAAAGGCUUUAGAUCUUGAUCUUUUGAGUUAGUUUACUUCAUGCUUCAGGCAGGAAACAUGAAUCAGGCUCUCUCCUUGGUUGUAAUUUUAUUUGUUUCUGAUGUAGUUUCUUUAUUUUAUUUUUGUACUUUAAAAAUUCUGUAAAAAACUUCUGGGGUGAUUAGUGAAAAAAUGGAAGGGUAAAUAGGCACGCAAAGGGUAGAUAUCACGUUCAUAGGGAAUUACUGCACUCCUAUAUUCAUGUAUCCUGCUUACAGGUUUGCAUGUAUGCAUCCACGUAGAUGUCAUGUUCAUAGGAUUUUCUGCAUUUUCGCAUCCAUGUAGAUACUAUGUCUAUAAGAAAUUCUGCAUUAUCACAUAGUACCAUGUCUAUAAGGAAUUUUGCAUCACAAAUAGAUACCAUAUCUAUAAGGAAUAUUGCACCACAUAUAGAUACUAUGUCAUAAGGAAUUUUUCAUCUUAUAUACAGAUACCACGUCUAUAAUGAACUCUGCAUUAUCAUAUAUAGAUACUAUGCCUAUAAGAAAUCCAGAUCCUGCAUACACAUUGGUCACUAGGCAAACCUGUUUAUAGGAGUUAAAACCAAACAACACUCAGAUGUCAUGCCCAUAGGAUUUUCUGCACUCUUACUACGCUUGUAAAAAGUGCUUAAAGACAAUAACGCCUAGAAAGCAUUCCUAUAGGAAUCAUCAAUUAAAGCUGAAUAUUUCAUUCACUAAUAAGGCUAAAAUCAGUAAUGAUAAUGCUUGAUGUCUGCAGAAUUUACGCUCUCUCGCCUUCCUUGGCCAAUUGACAACUUUUUUUCCUAAAUCAUCAUACUUCUUUUAUGAAACUGAUAGGUAUCAUGCCUAUUGGUUUUUUCGUUUAACACUUAGGCAAGCCAUAAGGUAACUUAUCAAUUGAAUCAGAUUUUAUCAACUACAACCAGCAUGCGGGCCUGAUUCGGGCUUCUCAUCUGAAAUAUGUAAUAGAU